AGCAUAUCAAUAAGCGGAGGAAAAGAAACCAACAGGGAUUGCCUCAGUAACGGCGAGUGAAGCGGCAACAGCUCAAAUUUGAAAUCUGGCUCUUUCAGGGUCCGAGUUGUAAUUUGUAGAAGAUGCUUUGGGUGUGGCUCCGGUCUAAGUUCCUUGGAACAGGACGUCGUAGAGGGUGAGAAUCCCGUAUGUGACCGGCUGCCUCCGCCCGUGUAAAGCUCUUUCGACGAGUCGAGUUGUUUGGGAAUGCAGCUCAAAAUGGGUGGUAAAUUUCAUCUAAAGCUAAAUAUUGGCCAGAGACCGAUAGCGCACAAGUAGAGUGAUCGAAAGAUGAAAAGCACUUUGGAAAGAGAGUUAAACAGUACGUGAAAUUGUUGAAAGGGAAGCGCUUGCAAUCAGACUUGCGCGCGGCCGAUCAUCCGAGGUUCUCCCCGGUGCACUCGACCGCGCUCAGGCCAGCAUCGGUUUCGGUGGUGGGAUAAAGGCCGUGGGAAUGUGGCUCCUCUCGGGGAGUGUUAUAGCCCGCGGUGCAAUGCCGCCUACUGGGACCGAGGACCGCGCUUCGGCUAGGAUGCUGGCGUAAUGGUUGUAAGCGACCCGU
rnacentral:rRNA from 1 species